UAAAGACAGGACAAAAUACUAAUAUUAAUAGAAAUUAACGAUUUAAUAAACAAAUAAAGUCUAAGUUUGAAUAGAUGGAGCAACUUUAUAGAUGUCGUCGGAAAAAAACACGUGACACACACGUGAGUUUAAGUAGCAAAGCCGAAGAUUCAUAAAAACAGCGUUUGUGAAAUUGACUAAACCGCAUGUAAUGGACUGUAAAGACUGCGAGGGCAGUGUAAUGUAGCAACAGAGCUUCAAAAGGGAGGUGGCUGUAACGCAUCAGAGACGGAGAGAUAGAAGGACGGAGAGAAAGAGAGCACGCCACAGGAAGACCGAGAGGAGAGGAGGAGCAGCCUGAGCUGCCUGUCAGGUCCGCUAAUUGAGAAAAAAGUGACAGAACCAUCAAGACACAGAAAGGGAGGAGAAGAGGAGAGGAGACGAGAGAUGUUUGGCGGAGGAGGGGCAGUGCUAUGGUGGAUCUCUUCAGGUUUGACUAAUUGAAAGGAAGGGAUGCAGACUGGCACAGGAGAGAGAGAGAGAGGGAGAGAGAGAAUGAAAGAAGCAGGAGUAAGGAAGAGGAGAGGCGGGGGGUGCAGCUUAAAUCCUACAAAAGGAAAAGCAAGCAACUGCUCACAGAAGGAAAGAUGGACAACUGAAGAUAGGCUUGGAAAGGCGUAUCAAACAGAAGUGGAUUAGACAGGUGUGUGCAGGCAACUCUGUGUGUGUGUGUGCAUGCGUGUGUUUAUAUGUGUGGACAAAGAUAUGAGACUGCGAUUAUUUUUGGCAUAACUUAAGAAGUCAUUUGGACUGUGGCCAGCUGGCCUCGGGACUGCGAGGAGUCGGCAGGUUUUCUUUUUAUUCUUUACCCACUCCCCACCCUUUUUUCCCUCUGUUGGUCAUUUUUAUUUGUAUUCUUUUUUAUUUUUCCACUCAGUCGAUUCAGUGGAGUUUAUUCAAACAGUUCCAAACAUGAAAAUAAAUCUUUCAAAAGCUCGGUGGGCCUAAUUUAUUUUAACAGGUGUUGUGAAAAUAUUUUACAUUUACUGAAACAUUCAUUACACUGCAUCUGCCCCUGUUUUUGCA